CUACGUGCCAGCAGCCGCGGUAAUACGUAGGUGGCAAGCGUUGUCCGGAUUUAUUGGGCGUAAAGCGAGCGCAGGCGGUUCCUUAAGCAGGAUGUGAAAUCCCCGGGCUCAACCUGGGAACUGCGUUCUGAACUGGGUGACUAGAGUGUGUCAGAGGGAGGUAGAAUUCCACGUGUAGCAGUGAAAUGCGUAGAGAUGUGGAGGAAUACCGAUGGCGAAGGCAGCCUCCUGGGAUAACACUGACGUUCAUGCCCGAAAGCGUGGGUAGCAAACAGGAUUAGAUACCCUGGUAGUCCACGCCCUAAACGAUGUCGAUUAGCUGUUGGGCAGCAUGACUGCUUAGUAGCGAAGCUAACGCGUGAAAUCGACCGCCUGGGGAGUACGGUCGCAAGAUUAAAACUCAAAGGAAUUGACGGGGACCCGCACAAGCGGUGGAUGAUGUGGAUUAAUUCGAUGCAACGCGAAGAACCUUACCUGGUCUUGACAU
rnacentral:rRNA from 1 species